UACGUAGGUGGCAAGCGUUGUCCGGAUUUAUUGGGUUUAAAGGGUGCGUAGGCGGCCCUGUAAGUCAGUGCUGAAAUAUCCCGGCUUAACCGGGAGGGUGGCAUUGAUACUGCGGGGCUAGAGUACAGAUGAGGUAGGCGGAAUUGACGGUGUAGCGGUGAAAUGCUUAGAUAUCGUCAAGAACACCUAUAGCGAAGGCAGCUUACUAGGCUGUAACUGACGCUGAGGCAUGAAAGCGUGGGGAGCAAACAGG
rnacentral:rRNA from 1 species